CCGAAGUCGUCCUGUUGCCAGGCCUUCAACCAAACACAUCCUGCUUGGCAGCCGCUGUGUACUCAGUGUUCUAACCUUUCCCUGAACCAGUCAUCUUAAGUACAGCCUUGCAAAAUGGCGUUACUGCUGCUAAGCUGGGGUCUUUCAAUGCCUUUGUCAACAGAGAGGGCCUCUGUGGUAUGCCUUUGAGGUGAUUUCUGAGCUCUUUGUAACUUGAGCACAGUGAGAAAGAUAUGAAAUACUAACAGUGAAAAUAUAAUUUUUUGAGAGGUAGGACUAAAAGCAUAAAAUAACUCCACAGGAUGGGGUCAGGUUGAGUGAGCAUGAUACUCCAAAGUCCCACCUCUUCUGUUCUAGGGACUUUUUAUUCAUCAAAAUAUAUGGAUAUGGAGUACUUUUAGAAGGGGUUAUCAUUUUAGGCUGUGGCAGAUGAUUCACUGGUUUUGGAGCAGGUUUGUAUAAUCCUUGAGAUGGUCCAGAACUAUUCUCUAAUGUGUUUUCUUGAGUGUUGAAUUCUCAGAUUAAUGUCUAUGUGGCUUAUAGUCUUCUGUGUGUGGCUUUAUUUUUCUACUUUUGAGAGACCCCGGCUUAGCAACAGUAACGCCAUUUUACAAGGCUGUACUUAGAUGACUGGUUCAGGGAAGGGUCAAAACACUGAGAACACUGCGGCUGCCAAACAGGAUGUUUGUAGUUGAGUGCCUGACAACAAAAGAAAGAAAUGUAAAGCCCUGGGAGAGGUCCCACACCCUAGUGGAGGGCCAAGUCAGCCAUUAUGUUCCAGGAAGGCGGCCAGGGAACUUGCCCUUUGGCUGAACCCUCGCCUCAUUAGAAUCCACCAAUUAUGUCCCUGUAACCAUGCAUCUGCUUCUGUAUGCUUGCUUCUGCUCCCCAGAACCCUAUAAAAAAACCCGUCCCUGGUUCCGCGGGGCGCGCCAGUCCCUCGAGUAGACUGAAGCGCCCACAAGAGCCUGUGUAUCCUGAAAGUAAACCCUCUUGCUGAUUGCAUCCGGUGGUCUCGGUCUGGUCAAUGGGCUUGAGGGUCUCCUUCCUGAGAAAAAGUUCUACUUUUCAUUUGGGGUCUCAUCUGGAAUCCGGAGAUCCUCCACCCAGGAGCCACCGACUACCCACCGGGAGGUUAAAGAUCAGGUCUUCCACAAGGGACCACAUGGACACCCUGACCAGGCUAAAAGACCUACAGGUGAUACAGAAAAAAAUCUGCUCACAGCUGACAACAGCCUAUACCCCGGGGACCCCCGAGACAUCUCAUCAGUUCCAGGUCGGAGACUGCAGCUACAUACAGCGACAUGGAGCCCAGACACUCAAGCCUCGCUAGAAAGGACCGUACCUGGUGCUGCUGACCACCCUGACAGCCAUCAAGUCUCAGCCCUCACCAGCUGUAUACUAGCUGUUGGGGCUGAGAGCUGGGACCUAGAGGGACACUCAGAUCUUCAAAGCUCCCUAGACUUGCACAUCAGACAUCAGAGACGUGACUGGGAAGUUGCUAUAAUGCUCACUUGAAGAGUGUGCUUUAGAAACAAGAAUUUCAUGUUUGCCCUGGGUUCCAUCGAGAUAGAUAUAGACAUAGGCUUGAUUUCUAUUACAAAUGAUAUAACAUUACAUAUGUUAGUACUCCUAACACUUCUUGAGACUGUGCCUCAGGGAUCACAAUCUAUAUAAGUUUAGAAGUUCUAAAAGACAGUUAUGACCUUGGUGUAUAGGUUCAGAUAGUGUCCAGAUUAGAAUCUUGAUGCUAAAGACUUAAUAAGACAAAAAAAAAAAGAGUUGAGAAUUACUUAAGGCUAUCUAGGUGCUACAAGGACAGCACAAGGACAUCUGCUGUUGCCCUACAAUACAAGGCUUAUGGAGAAUUCAGACCUGCCAUUGACUCAGAUAUAAAAAGAGUAAAAAAGACUUUUUAGAUGACCUCCAAGAAUACCUAACCUCCCUCUCAGAGGUAGUCCUUCAGAAUAAGAAAAGAUUAGACCUGAUAUUCCUUAAAGAAAGAGUCUGUGUGCUACACUUAAAGAAGCUAUACAGAUCAGACAGGAAUAAUAAGAGAUAAUAUGGCUAAGCUCCGAGAACGCUUAGCCCAGAGAUAAAAGUUGUUUGAUUCCCAACAAGGGUGGUUUGAGGGGUGGUUUAACUGAUCCCCUUGGUUUGCUACCCUCCUGUCUACCCUGAUGGGACCCCUACUUAUUCUCCUAAUUCUCCUAUUUGGACCCUGUAUCCUUAACAGGCUGGUACAGUUCAUGAGGGAUAGACUUUCAGUCAUUCAGACUCUCGUACUGACACAACAGUACCAUAGGCUGAGACAACAAGAAACAAAGAUCUCUUAACCAAGUUAAGUGAAAGAUUUCACUCAAAGUUAGCAGAAAAAAAAUGAGGAAAUGAGAGACCCUAGCUUAGCAACAGUAACACCAUUUUACAAGGCUGUACUUAGAUGACUGGUUCAGGGAAGGGUCAAAACACUGAGAACACUGCGGCUGCCAAACAGGAUGUUUGUAGUUGAGUGCCUGACAACAAAAGAAAGAAAUGUAAAGCCCUGGGAGAGGUCCCACACCCUAGUGGAGGGCCAAGUCAGCCAUUAUGUUCCAGGAAGGCGGCCAGGGAACUUGCCCCUGGGCUGAACCCUCACCUCCUUAGAAUCCACCAAUUAUGUCCCUGUAACCACGCAUCUGCUUCUGUAUGCUUGCUUCUGCUCCCCAGAACCCUAUAAAAAAACCCGUCCCUGGUUCCGCGGGGCGCGCCAGUCCCUCGAGUUGACUGAAGCGCCCACAGGUGCCUGUGUAUCCUGAAAGUAAACCCUCUUGCUGAUUGUAUCUCUCUGAGAACUUUUCACUUUGUCUGUUCUUGAGUGACAUGUACUUGAAAAUCUUUAUAAGAAGCUGAGGCACAGGAAAUCUCAUCCCCAGUAACUGCUAACAAUACAAACACAUAUUAUCUCUAUUAGGGAUCACGAUUUCUCACUUUAAAUUAUCUAGCUGACACUGUACUUGAAUCUUGUUCCAGAAUUGAUCUGAAAACCUGAUAUGAUAGUAGGAGUUUAAUAUCAUCUUGGUAAGAAGAAUGCAAUUGAUUUAGGAUUUUGAUUGACAAAAUUUGAAGAAUAGGACUAGAAAAAACAUAAAGACGGACCCUGGGAAGAUAAGCAACCAAGACAUCUGAUAUCAAACUAUAUAACAUGAGUCCUGUGAUUCAGAUAGUUGCUCAAUUUUCUGGACAUUACCAAUUAAAUUUUAUCUAGAAUUUCUGAAUAAUCAUGAUUUUUAAACAUAAAACAUCAUUCUUCUUCAAGAAAGAGACACAGUCUUAAUGCUCAGUAAAUUGUGUUGAUGUUUUCCUUAGGAAUGGUUUUUAGAGAGCAACACUUUGUCUCAGCAACAGUGAGGGUUGUUUAGGGAUUUCCAUGGAUUCCCUUGGCCAACAGCUCAAUUGAAAGCAACUGAAUGUUGCCACUCGUGGCUUCACCUGGCAUCAAGAGACAGUCAAAUUCAUGUGAAAGAUUUUCCUUUCUUUUAUUGUUUCUUAACUCUAUCGAUCUCCAUUACAUUCUUAUACCUUUUUAUAUUAUACAUCCUUGAUGGUUCAUUUAUAGUUUUCUUUUUUCAGUUAAAGUUUAUAAAUAAUUUUAUUAAUAAAAUAAGGUUUCAAUAUAAACAAAGGAAUCCUUAUCUUAAACACUGGGACGCCAUACUAGCAGUAUUUUCUAUAAAUUUAAAUUUGUCAGAAAGUCAAGCCCUUUUAUAACAUAUUUAAAGCCUUGUUUAAAAAAUUAUUUCUGUUUCUUAAUUUGGACUCACCAAAUGGCAGGACAAAGUUUUGGAAUUUGUACCUUUAUUUUGUAAUUUUCCCCUCCACUUUAGUUGCCUGAUUGUCUCCUCAAGCAAUCAUAUUAAUUUCUGAGGCAGACAUAGUAGCAUGGGUAUGUUACUAUUUCAAUUCUCAGACUAGCAAGGCCUCACAGGACUCUCCAUUCAAAUUAAAGGUAGCAAAUUUGGGUCUCACCGACUUGAUCUGGGGGCAACUAGCUGAAACAGUAGGCAAACUCUCUGCCACACAAGACAGAAUAUCUGAGUUAGGUCUUUGAAAUACAUUUGAAAGCAGAAGGAAAGAACAAACUCUGCAAAGUUGUUCCCAGACCUCCAUAGUUAUUACAUGCAUCACAGAACUGUACUAUAUACAUACUCAGGAAUGGUAUAUAUAUGGAUAUUGUGGCAGUUCUAGAUAUUUUUGAG
ensembl:lncRNA